GUUUUUAUAGUUUAAUUAAAACAUUACACUGAAAAUGUAAAGAUAUAAGUUAAAAACAUUUUAAUUACAAAAA
rnacentral:tRNA from 1 species